rnacentral:rRNA from 1 species
GAUGAACGCUGGCGGCGUGCCUAAUACAUGCAAGUCGAGCGAACAGAUAAGGAGCUUGCUCCUUUGACGUUAGCGGCGGACGGGUGAGUAACACGUGGGUAACCUCCCUAUAAGACUGGGAUAACUUCGGGAAACCGGAGCUAAUACCGGAUAACAUUUGGAACCGCCUGGUUCUAAAGUGAAAGAUGGUUUUGCUAUCACUUAUAGAUGGACCCGCGCCGUAUUAGCUAGUUGGUAAGGUAACGGCUUACCAAGGCAACGAUACGUAGCCGACCUGAUAGGGUGAUCCGUCACACGGGCACUGAAACACGGUCCAGACUCUUAGGGGAGGCAGCAGUAGGGAAUGUGCCGAAAUGGGCGAAGGCUUGACGGAGCAACGUGGGGUGCGUAAUGAAGGGUUUCGGUUCGUAAACCCCUGUUAUUAGGGAAGAAUAAAUUUGUGAGUAACUGUGAACUUCUUGACGGUACCGAAUCAGAAAGCCACGGCUAACUACGUG